rnacentral:rRNA from 1 species
GCCUAUUAGUUAGUUGGUGAGGUAACGGCUCACCAAGGCGAUGACGGGUAGCCGGUCUGAGAGGAUGUCCGGCCACACUGGAACUGAGACACGGUCCAGACACCUACGGGUGGCAGCAGUCGAGAAUCAUUCACAAUGGGGGAAACCCUGAUGGUGCGACGCCGCGUGGGGGAGCGAAGGUCUUCGGAUUGUAAACCCCUGUCAAGUGGGAGCAAAUUAAAAAGAUAGUACCACUAGAGGAAGAGACGGCUAACUCUGUGCCAGCAGCCGCGGUAAUACAGAGGUCUCAAGCGUUGUUCGGAAUCACUGGGCGUAAAGCGUACGUAGGCGGCUUGGUAAGUCGUGUGUGAAAGGCAGGGGCUCAACCUCUGGACUGCACAUGAUACUGCCAGGCUAGAGUAAUGGAGGGGAAACCGGAAUUCUCGGUGUAGCAGUGAAAUGCGUAGAUAUCGAGAGGAACACUCGUGGCGAAGGCGGGUUUCUGGACAUUAACUGACGCUGAGGUACGA